UGUGUAGGAGUAGCUGGAGACUGUGAAGCGCUAACGCCAGUUAGUGUGGAGUCGUCGUUGAAAUACCAGUCUGGCCGUGCUGGAUGUCUAACCUGGGUCCGGUGAUCCGGAUCAGGGACGAGUGUCUGAUGGGUAGUUUAACUGGGGCGGUUGCCUCCUAAAGAGUAACGGAGGCGCCCAAAGGUUCCCGUCAGCCUGGUUGGCAAUCAGGUGUUGAGUGUAAGUGCACAAGGGAGCUUGACUGUGAGACCGACGGGUCGAGCAGGGACGAAAGUCGGGACUAGUGAUCCGGCGGUGGCUCGUGGAAGCGCCGUCGCUCAACGGAUAAAAGGUACCCCGGGGAUAACAGGCUGAUCUUCCCCAAGAGUCCAUAUCGACGGGAUGGUUUGGCACCUCGAUGUCGGCUCGUCGCAUCCUGGGGCUGGAGUCGGUCCCAAGGGUUGGGCUGUUCGCCCAUUAAAGCGGUACGCGAGCUGGGUUUAGAACUUCGUGAGACAGUUCGGUCCC
rnacentral:ncRNA from 1 species